UUUUUUACUGAUCAUCAGUACUGCAUCCUGUGCUGAAAUGCUUAUACAGCGGUUUCCUUUGUAGCUAGAAAACCACCACAUCACACGUCUUUUAUAGACCAAUCAAUCCGUGUUUUUUUAUUUAUUUAUUUAUUUAUUUAUUUUAACAAUGUUCACAUUUGUCAUGUUGAUUUCGAGACCAAAGCUCAUGGAAGAACCUUCUGAAGACCCUUGAAGAACAACUAAAGGAAUGAAACCUCUACCCUCAAUAAUUUAAAAUGAAGACAAAACAAAAUGUGUUUGUGACUGGAGGCGACACAGGGAGACAGAUAAGUAAUCAAACAAAUAGCUUGAUCUGCUUUUAUGGCUAUUUAUUUGUUUACAAAGCUCAUAAUAGGCAUGUAAUAAACAUGCUGCUACAAUCAUAGACAAUAGUUGUUAAAAUAAAAGAUUGUGACUCCUACUUAUUCUGCCUAGAAAUAAUUAUCACAAUUUUAUUAUAUAGUUAAACAAUGUGUUUAAUUUCCAAAUGUUUCAUAAUUAUUAUUUAGUCAUAUUACAAUUUUAUUUGUUAGACAUAAAUUUUUUUAUUCGCAAUAUUUUUUAUUGCUGGUUUUUGGAGGACCUCCAUAGAUGGCGCUCAUUCUUGUUGUCAGUUAAGGAAAAGUACGGAUAUAUGGUAUGUAACAAUAUAUGAUUAUUAAAUAAUAUCGAAUAAUAUUCAUAUUUUAAUCAAAACAUGCUUUAUUACAGCAUCAGUAGAAGAUAUUGAUAACAUUGAGUAAAUACAGAAGCUUUUAUUAUAACAAUGACAGCAAUUGUAAGUUUAAGUGGCUUGAAAGAUCGGGCUGUUAGCCUAGCCUUUUUGUAAAUCAUCGCUUGAUGCUUCUGUGGUUAGUCUAUAAAUUGCUAUAAAUCUUAAAUUUAUUGCUAUUGUUAUUUACUAUUAUUUAUUAAAUUAUUUAUCUCAUAGUUUUUGUUGGCUUCUUGUUUUGGGCACUUGUUCAUCCAUUAAGAUCAUCAAUUUAACCAUUGCAAACUGAGGCUUUUGAAUAUUAUAGUUUUAAAUAUUACAUUAUAGCACAUACAGUAUUAAUCAUGCUUUAUGCAUAUUUCUGGUCUGGAAACUCGAAGGUUAGAAAACCACAAGGUCCGAUCCACAAGCUAUCGUGACUGCAUAUGAAAAACUAAAUAAUAUUUUUUCACUUGAAAAGUGGGUUCUCAGUGCCUUCAGCACAGAGUUAUGAUAAAACAUACAGUUUAAACAUAUAUGACUUCUUUUGAGUCUUCAUUACGGGGGGUUAAACUCCUUUCAGUUCACACCCUGGAUUGAGAUCCUGCUAACUUCUGUUUUAUUUGCUUGCAGGGUGCAAUGUUCUGUAUCCACCAUCAGCCCACAGCAGGUCAAAUUAAGACCUCUGUCCAGUGUGAGGAGAACCCUAAAGGAUCGGGUGGAGUGAUUAUAUACGACCAGAUGUUGUUCACCAUGAACAAACAAUGCUUGGAGGCGAUUCAUGAUCAUAGAGGAGAAAAACACAGUCAGACCAGUUCUGUUGAAAUGGCACGUGAAGACAAAAAAGAAAAAUGCCUCACAAGACCUUAACAUCUCACCAUUUAUACAUCAAAUAAAAGCAUUUCU